rnacentral:lncRNA from 1 species
GGUCGCUGCCAGCGCCGCGCAUGUGACGGGAGGCGACAGCAGCGCCUGCUAUUUAUACAUAUUGCCAGGCCGCGCUACGUGACCCCGCGGGGACCCCCCGUCCUCUCCCUGCGGGGCAAACAGCCACGAGGACUCACAGAACGGGUGGCACUGGCAAAGGGCGGCCACGGGGCGACCCGCCGGGUCUGCGCCCGGCUGUGCCAGAGCCGUCCCUGUCACCCCUAUAGGGUCGGGUGGCCCCACCGUGCCCCGUGGCCACCCCAACUGCCCCCUGCCCGCCAGGUCCAUGCGGCCCGGUGGGGGACUCCCCCGUGCCCACAGGAACACGAAGACGUCCCCAUAUCCGGUGAGGAUACGAGGCACUCCUGUGCCUGAUGGCCCACUGGGGACUUUGGGCCAUCCCUGUGCCCUGUGGGGACACCAAGCUGUCCCUGUGCCCAGCAGCGGCACGAAGCCACCUGUGUGCAGAAGGCACGGAUCUGCACCCAGCAGGGACUGAUCCCUGUGCUGGGGGUGGCACUGAAGUGUCCCCGUGCCCGAUGGUGGCACAGAGCUGUGCCCAGCGGGGACGCUGUGCUGUCCUCAUGCCCAGUGGGGACACAGAUCUGUGCCCAGCAGGAACACUGAGCAGUUCCCAUGCGUGGCCCAAGUGCUGGGGCAGAACCCACAGCCUGGCAGGCACCAGCAUGCAGAGAGCAUCCCCAUGGGGCACAUCACAACCCCAUGGGGCACAUCACAACCCCACGGGGCACAUCACAUCCCCACGGGGCACACCACAACCCCACGGGGCACACCACAACCCCACGGAGCACACUACAACCCCAUGGAGCACACUACAACCCCACAGGGCACACCACAACCCCACGGGGCACACCACAUCCCCAUGGAGCACACCACAACCCCACAGGGCACACCACAACCCCACGGGGCACACCACAACCCCAUGGAGCACACCACAACCCCAUGGAGCACAUCACAACCCCAUGGAGCACAUCACAACCCCACGGAGCACACCACAACCCCACGGGACACACCACAACCCCACGGAGCACACCACAACCCCACAGGGCACAUCACAACCCCACGGAGCACACUACAACCCCACGGGGCACACCACAUCCCCACAGGGCACACCACAACCCCACGGAGCACACUACAACCCCACAGGGCACAUCACAACCCCACAGGGCACACCACAACCCCACGGGGCACACCACAACCCCACGGGGCACACCACAACCCCACAGGGCACACCACAACCCCAUGGGGCACAUCACAUCCCCACGGGGCACACCACAACCCCACAGGGCACAUCACAACCCCACAGGGCACAUCACAACCCCAUGGGGCACACCACAACCCCACGGAGCACACCACAACCCCACGGGGCACACCACAACCCCACAGGACACACCACAUCCCCACGGGGCACAGCCCCAGCUGGCACAAGCCCUGGCUGCAGAGCACAGCGGGGCUGCUCCUUGCUGGCCCCCCAACCCCCCCCCCCCAGAGCUGCCUGGUGGAGCAGAGGGGCCCAGCCGGCCUGCAGGAAGGGGCCCCGCGCUCCGGGCAGCAGCGCCGUCCCCUGCUCACACACAUGUGCACACACGUGUACACAAACACACGGAGCUCUGGGGGCUGUGUUGUGGUGGGGAGCUGUGCACGCUGGCACACUCGCAGUGCCUUGCAUGUACCCGUGUGUGGAAGGCUCACACUUAGGGACAGGGGGUGAUGGAGCACACACAGGUGACGCCCGGAUCACACUCAGCCCCACUGCGGCAGGCAGGCUGAGCACAGCCGUGGCAUGGAGGGAAACUGAGGCGCGGGCUGAGGGGGGCAGGAGCCACUUCUGUUCUCUCUGAGUGACACUUCAGGGGACCAAGGCCAGGUUGGGGGCAGCGGGCGGCAUCACGGAGGCCCACACCCCUACAUGGAGUCACCGUGGGGGGCUGCGUGCCCCACAGCACUGCGACCACAAGCACCAGCUCUGUGCACACAGAACGGUGGGGUGCUGUGCCCACAUGAGCCACCAGACAGAACACAAGGCAUCAGAUGGGACCUGGACCGUGGCUGAGUCCCCAUGGCUCCGAGCCAGCCUGCCCUGUGGGGCUGUUCCCCAGAGCUGUGCCCCGAGUCCCUGUGGGGCCUCACACAUCCCUCACCCCACAGCUGCUUUGCCUGGCCCCGUCCCGGCAGCCCCACACAUGGCAGCGGGCUGGGGGGCCACAGUGUGCUGGGGGUCCCGUGGAGUGGGUGGGGGUCCCAGGGCGUGGGGAUCCCACGGUGCAGAUGGGGGUCUCAUAGUGUGAGUGGGGGUCCCGCAGUACUGUGGGGGUCCCAUGGAGUGGGUGGGGGUCCCAAGGUGUGGGUGGGGGUCCUGCAGUAUGUGGGGGUCUUGUGGCGUGGGCGGGGGUCCCAUGGUGUGAGUGGGGGUCCUACAGUAUGGUGGGGGUCCCGUGGAGUGGGUGGGGGUCCCAGGGCGUGGGGAUCCCACGGUGCAGAUGGGGGUCUCAUAGUGUGGGUGGGGGUCCCGCAGUACUGUGGGGUGCCGUGGGGUGGGUGGGGGUCCCGCAGCGCCCCCUGGUGUCCGACACGCGGCGCUGCCUGCAGCACGAGCGCCCUCUGGUGGGCGCAGCCCCGAGCCGGGCGGACGCGCGUUGUGUGCGGCCCUACCGGGAGGGGGGAGCAGCCGAGCUCAGCUGUGUGGUGGGGAGGGACACGGAGGGAUCCUCGUGGAAGAGGAGCGAGAUGAGGAGGCGACGGGAGGCAGCCAGCACGGCGUCACCGCGGGCACAGCGCGCCUGAGCCGCCCGCGAUGGAGCGCCGGCAUCGCUGCACAACGGGAGGGCGGCUGCUGUGGCUGCCUGCAGUUGUGCGAGGCCUCUGGCACGGCCCUGCACCGCGUCCCGAUCUCUGCGUUGGAGAGAGAUGGGUUCCGAGCUGGAUGAAGGCUUGGCUGGAUGGCCGCAGCCACAGGGCUGUGCUCAGUGGCUCCAUGUGCAGGUGGAGGCGGUGACGAGCGCUGUCCCCCAGGGCUCCAUCUUAGGAGCGGUGCUCUUCAAUCCCUUUCUCAGUGACACAGAGGAUGGGAUCAGUGCACCUCAGCAGCUGCAGAGGACACCGAGCUGAGCGGUGCGGCUGCUCCGAGCGGAGGAAGGGCUGCCGUCCAGAGGCCGCCGGUCGGUCACGCAGCGCCGAGGGGCGCUCAGUACGGCACGUGGAGGCCGUGCAGGCCGUGCAGGCGCUCCCAUAACGCCCGAAAGGAUCUGGGUGAAGGAUCCGGGGCGGUGUCGGCCUCUGCUCUCCGUAACGGCGGAGCGAUGACGCGGACGGCCCGGAGCCGCCCCGAGGCGCCG